UGGGGAAUUUUGCACAAUGGGCGGAAGCCUGAUGCAGCGACGCCGUGUGGGGGAUGAAGGCCUUCGGGUUGUAAACUCCUUUCGUCAGGGACGAAGUUUGUUUGACGGUACCUGGAUAAGAAGCACCGGCUAACUACGUGCCAGCAGCCGCGGUAAUACGUAGGGUGCGAGCGUUGUCCGGAUUUACUGGGCGUAAAGGGCUCAUAGGUGGUGUGUUGCGUCGUCUGUGUAAUCCAGGGGCUUAACUUUUGGUUGGCAGGCGAUACGGGCAUUGCUUGAGUGCUGUAGGGGAGACUGGAAUUCCUGGUGUAGCGGUGAAAUGCGCAGAUAUCAGGAGGAACACCGAUGGCGAAGGCAGGUCUCUGGGCAGUUACUGACGCUGAGGAGCGAGAGCAUGGGUAGCGAACAGG
rnacentral:rRNA from 1 species